UUUUUUUUCCUAUUUUUUUUUUUAUCAGUAGUGGGGCAUUAAGUGUGGGAGAAUGCCCAUAUCCUAUAAGUGGGCAAUUAUGUCAGCCUUGUAGAAAAAUAGGACUUUAAUAUUAAAUUAUUUUGUUCUUAAUAGGAACAUAUAAUAACACUUCACUUACUUUUAAAUUGGUAGCAGAUCAGCAGGAAAGGCCUGCAAGUAUGAAGUAAUGAAAUACUCAGGGUAUAUUUUAAGUGAGCAAAAUAGACACCUUAUAAUCUUAAAAAGUCUCUUGGAGAGACAAUAAAUUUGCUUUAACUGUCAUUUCAGUCUAGUAUUAUAUUUUCUAUAUUUUGUUGGAUAGAUUAACAUAUAAUGCAUCUUAAAGAGAUAUUUAUUGCACACUAAUUUUAGUGAAAACAAGAAGACAUUGAUAGAAUGGAGGGCUUAAACACCAAAGAUACUAUUUUUAAAAAUCUUCCAAAGUAAUCUUAACACUGUAAAAUGAAACUUUAAAAAGUUUUAGCAGUUUGACAAUAAUGGCCUCAAUUUAGAGAUAUGUUGAGACAAUGACUUUGGGUCAAGAGGAAAUUACAUAGCUGAAAUAUUAAGACCUUGAACAUAGCAGAAACAUAAACCUAUGAACAACUUGUGUUUUGUGUGAAAGCUAGGGUAGCUGAUAGGAUUAGCAGAUAUUGGUAGAAUUAAGAGUCAAUAUUUAAAUUAUUGCUAAAGAUUAAAAUCCCUCAUCUUAUAGUUUGUAGGGGAUUCCAUGAUGGUAAGGUAUAGAUUGAAAUUAAAUUUAGUAACUAGGCAUUUCUGACCAUACCAUAUAAAAAAUAAUUGUAAUAUGGUAUAAACACUGAUUAAAAGUAAUUAUGGAUUUUCAUGCCUGAAGAACCUUCUCAGUAUUCUUACAGCACUGUAUCUUCUUUAUUGGUUGAGAAUAUCAGUCUAGAAAGACUUUCCUAGAUGUUAAAUGUGCUAGUCAGUGUCAUGAAUAUAAACCCUUACUUGUAAGUUUGCUAUAGACUAGUUGUACAACACUAGAAUGAAAUUAUGUAAUACUUUUAAGAAUUGUAGUGAUUGCAGGGUUGUGUUAAGGUAACAUUUUAUGCAUGUGUCAGUGACAGAAAGGAUCAGGGUAUAAAACUUAGCACUAAAUAGCAUGCUCCUUAGGAAGUUUUAAGGUAAGCAGUAGGAAUAUUCAUGUAAUUCUGAUGAGUUUAUGUAAGUUAAGGAAAAUGCAAUGCCAGUUUGUUGACUUUAAACACUAAAAACAAAAUACAUUUUGUGGAACCAACAAAGGAGACAUUCUGGGGAAAAACUUAAAUUGCUCAAAUUUAAAUAAGGGCUCUCACUUUAUAUAGUAGAUUUGUCAGGAUCCCAUGAACAUUGCUUUUCUUGAUUUCUCACAUAUGAGGGUUGGGCAAAAGGGACUUCUCUAGCCUCUUCGAUAAUGUAGGUAGACUUGUACUUAGUGAAUCCCAUUAUAAUGUUAGGUACUAUGUUCUAAGACUAUUUCUAUAAUUGGACUGAAGGCUCCUGCAAACAUAAAUUGCUGAUAUGGAUAUAGUAACAUAAGAAAUACCAAAAUAGGGACAUUUGCAAGACCUUUUCCAUUUAAUCAUCAGUUUAAUAAAAAUCAUGCUUUUGGUACAGUGUUCAUGUACCAUAACUGUAUUGGAAUAUUUGUACGAUGUUAAAUAUUUUUAAUAAAAUUUAACAUGUUCAAAAU
rnacentral:lncRNA from 1 species